GUGGGGAAUUUUGGACAAUGGGCGCAAGCCUGAUCCAGCAAUGCCGCGUGUGUGAAGAAGGCCUUCGGGUUGUAAAGCACUUUUGUCCGGAAAGAAAUGGCCUGGGUUAAUACCCCGGGUCGAUGACGGUACCGGAAGAAUAAGCACCGGCUAACUACGUGCCAGCAGCCGCGGUAAUACGUAGGGUGCGAGCGUUAAUCGGAAUUACUGGGCGUAAAGCGUGCGCAGGCGGCGAUGCAAGACAGAUGUGAAAUCCCCGGGCUCAACCUGGGAAGUGCAUUUGUGACUGCAUGGCUAGAGUGCGUCAGAGGGGGGUGGAAUUCCGCGUGUAGCAGUGAAAUGCGUAGAGAUGCGGAGGAACACCGAUGGCGAAGGCAGCCCCCUGGGAUGACACUGACGCUCAUGCACGAAAGCGUGGGGAGCAAACAGGAUUAGAUACCCCUGUAGUCC
rnacentral:rRNA from 1 species